rnacentral:rRNA from 1 species
UACGAAGGGUGCAAACGUUGCUCGGAAUCAUUGGGCGUAAAGCGCACGUAGGCGGCUUGCCAAGUCGGACGUGAAAUCCCUCAGCUCAACUGAGGACGUGCAUCCGAAACUGGCGAGCUUGAGUACUGAAGAGGAUCGCGGAAUUCCCGGUGUAGAGGUGAAAUUCGUAGAUAUCGGGAGGAACACCAGUGGCGAAGGCGGCGAUCUGGGCAGAUACUGACGCUGAGGAGCGAAAGCGUGGGGAGCGAACAGG